GAGGCUUUCAUCCACAGGGAAUUCUGUCCUCCUCAGAAACACAACUGUAGAGCAAAGCCUUAUUACUGCUGCAGGAAAAAAAGAAACACGUGCUUCAGUGACUUUUAUCCUGUUACUGUCUUCUCAUAUGACCUAACACUAUUGCUCAGCAAAAAGAGGAAAUACAAUGCAGGCUUGGUUUUCCAGCUCUCUGGCAUACACAGAAA